rnacentral:rRNA from 1 species
AGUGAACGCUGGCGGUAGGCCUAACACAUGCAAGUCGAACGGCAGCACAGUAAGAGCUUGCUCUUACGGGUGGCGAGUGGCGGACGGGUGAGGAAUACAUCGGCAUCUACUUUUUCGUGGGGGAUAACGUAGGGAAACUUACGCUAAUACCGCAUACGACCUACGGGUGAAAGCAGGGGAUAUUCGGACCUUGCGCGAUUGAAUGAGCCGAUGUCGGAUUAGCUAGUUGGCGGGGUAAAGGCCCACCAAGGCGACGAUCCGUAGCUGGUCUGAGAGGAUGAUCAGCCACACUGGAACUGAGACACGGUCCAGACUCCUACGGGAGGCAGCAGUAGGGAAUAUUGGACAAUGGGCGAAAGCCUGACCCAGCCAUACCGCGUGGGUGAAGAAGGUCUUCGGGUUGUAAAGCCCUUUUGUUGGGAAAGAAAAGCUGUAGGUGAAUCCCCCGCUGUCCUGACGGUACCCAAAGAAUAAGCAACGGCUAACUUCGUG